AACCAUGGUAACCGCCCCCAUCUCAUCCGGUAUAACCCACCGCCUCAUCUCGAUCCUUCCUCAUUACACUCUCCUAGAAACCCACCGCCUCAUAACCUCUUCAACAUCAGACUCAUCGAUCUUCAACAUCAAACGAACCCGUCACCGCCUUCCCUUCUCUCUCCCGAAAUCGACCCAGAGUAGCCGGAGGAACAGUAUGUUGAUGUUCCAAUUUAGAUCAGACAUACGAUGAGUUUGAGGCUUUCUCUAUCAUGCACUUAGUUUACACUAAUCUCCCAUAAACACGUUGAACUGUGGGAGUCCGUCGACCAUAGAAACGACGACUCACCGACUGCCUCUUCGUUCUCGGUUGUGUUUGUUUCUAAUCUGUAGUGGUCUUCCUCCGGUUGCAGAUCAUAGUCGACACUCCAGAUCGAGAUUCUAAAUCGCCACCUUAUCAUCCCCUUAUUUGAUUCACAUCCAACUGACACUCCAAUUGGCGAUGGAUGAGUAACCACACCCAAAAUCCAUUUGGGUUGCCAUUUGAUCAAUUAAACCAGACAAGGGAGAGAUAGAUUAAAGAGAAAUCACACCCACAAACUGUGUCGUUUACAUUCAAACUGACAAGAAUCUGAGAACUUAUGGAAACAGAAUUUCCCUGCAGAGUGGGACCAUUUUCACUUGAUGUCUGAAUACAAAUGGACAUACUUCUUUAUUUAGUGGAAAAUGUAUGAUCGAAGCAAUUCAACUUGAUGAAAGAAGUAGCCCCGUUGAGGAAUUAAGUGCAAUUCUGCCCACACAAUAGAAACAAAUAAUACUGAAAAUGGCAAACUCCAUACAACAAUAUUAGAACUCUUCUUUUCUAUUUAUUGAUGCAUCCUGAGCAUGUACAACAUCUAGUUUUGGUGGGACCUACUGGAUUUACCUCAGAAGUUGACCAUAAAUCUGAAUGACUUACAAAAUUCAGGGCAACAUGGAAAGGAGUUGUUAUGAACCACUAAUGGGAAUCCAAUUUUCCUCCAAUGAAAGUUCUCAUGUGAUAUAGUGAUUAUAAUCUUAAAUUACUUAUUAAUGACAUUGAAUUAUAAUAUUAUAUAGACUUGAAUAUGUUUGAUGUGUGGGAUCUGUGAUGCAGAGGUUUAGGCUUGUGGGGCCAAGGUUUGGUCCGCAGGUACAUAAGUGCAAGAUUUCGUGACUAUGUAAGUGGAGAAGUGUUGACUGGUAAAGAAUCCAUAUUAUUUAUAGAUUACAUAUACCACACUUUGGUUCCAGAAGGAAGUGGAGAACUUUGCUUAAAGUACAUCUUUUCGUUUGGGAUAUAUGCACGAAGUGCUCUGUUAGAAAGGUGUCAUCUAAAAUGUUUAUCAAGUGCUAUGCUGUGUAAAAUGUUUAUUAAGUUGUUGUGACUUUUGCUGCAAACUUGGUAAGAAAAGUAAUUUGCAGGAAAUGCAAUAAAUAUAGUUUUGAUCCAUGUCUUUUUUAAUUUUCAAUAACUUACAGUUUUGGUCAAUGUAGUUUUUAAUUUAGGAAAUUACCGGUCCACUUCGUAAUUAAGGUUUUAUCUUUCUACAAUUUUCUAUAAUUUUUAUACCCCUUUAUCCACUAAUUGAUGUCAAAUAUAUAGACAUUCCAAAUAUUUUUUUUACUCAGAAACUACAUUACCUUAGUUCCUUUUUGUCCCUCAAUUAAUGGCAUUAUUUGAAGAUUUUGGACCAGAAUAGUGUCACUUCAUGAUAGAGUUUGACGGAAAUAAGUUAUCUAAAUAUUUCUUUGGUUAAGAGCUUUCGAUUACAUGAUUCUACUUGACGUAAUCAAAACUAGAAAAAAACAACAGUAAAAUUAUUUGAGAUCAUAAAGGUUAGCAUUUUGUUAUAGUUUUUAAUUUUUUUAGUUUUUGAAAUUACUUCUACAAAUAUUGCUUACUUUAGUUUAAGCUAAUAUUGUGAAUAUUUUUUCGGAUUGUUUGACUUUAAUGACCUUGGGAUGUGUAACGAUCUUAAUUUAUAUUUAAGUUUUCAAUUUGUUAAUGGACUUUGAUUCUUUUAGGUUUUCUUAAGUUUCCCCUCACAAAGAAACUAUUGCAUUUCCUUCGUUUAAGCUUUCUUGUCUUUCAGGUUCAAAAAUGUCCACACGUGUGAUGUUAUCUACAGUCUCAGCAGAAACCUCUGCUUCUGAUGCUACGUUUUUUUUUUGCUGAUAAGGGUAAUUUCGGAAUUAUCAACAACAUUUGUAAUAUGUUAAAUUACCUGGACUCUCAAAAGAUUGUACAUAGAGAUGUGAAGACUUAAAACAUGCUUUUGGACAAAUCAAAAACUGUUAGAAUUACUGAUUUUAUACUUCUACUAUCAUGAUUUAUUGUUGCAUUUCUACUCAUCCGAUUAUGGCAAAUUACAGAGAAUAACAAUGUACUUAACUAUUGAACUAUUUAGUAUUUCCUAUGUCUUUAUGAUGAUGUCAACUAUAUAGCGUUUC